rnacentral:rRNA from 1 species
AAACUCAAAGGAAUUGACGGGGCCCGCACAAGCGGUGGAGCGUGUGGUUUAAUUCGAAGCAACGCGAAGAACCUUACCAGGUCUUGACAUCCCCUGACAACCCGAGAGAUCGGGCGUUCCCCUUCGGGGGACAGGGUGACAGGUGGUGCAUGGUUGUCGUCAGCUCGUGUCGUGAGAUGUUGGGUUAAGUCCCGCAACGAGCGCAACCCUCGACCUUAGUUGCCAGCAUUCAGUUGGGCACUCUAAGGUGACUGCCGGCUAAAAGUCGGAGGAAGUGGGGAUGACGUCAAAUCAUCAUGCCCCUUAUGACCUGGGCUACACACGUGCUACAAUGGGCGGUACAAAGGGUCGCGAACCCGCGAGGGGGAGCCAAUCCCAAAAAGCCGCUCUCAGUUCGGAUUGCAGGCUGCAACUCGCCUGCAUGAAGCCGGAAUCGCUAGUAAUCGCGGAUCAGCAUGCCGCGGUCGAAUACGUUCCCGGGCCUU